rnacentral:rRNA from 1 species
CCUACGGGAGGCAGCAGUGGGGAAUAUUGGACAAUGGGGGCAACCCUGAUCCAGCCAUGCCGCGUGUGUGAAGAAGGCCCUCGGGUUGUAAAGCACUUUCAGUGAGGAAGAACGCCUGGUGGUUAAUACCCAUCAGGAAAGACAUCACUCACAGAAGAAGCACCGGCUAACUCCGUGCCAGCAGCCGCGGUAAUACGGAGGGUGUGAGCGUUAAUCGGAAUUACUGGGCGUAAAGCGCGCGUAGGUGGCUUGAUAAGCCGGUUGUGAAAGCCCCGGGCUCAACCUGGGAACGGCAUCCGGAACUGUCAAGCUAGAGUGCAGGAGAGGAAGGUAGAAUUCCCGGUGUAGCGGUGAAAUGCGUAGAGAUCGGGAGGAAUACCAGUGGCGAAGGCGGCCUUCUGGACUGACACUGACACUGAGGUGCGAAAGCGUGGGUAGCAAACAGGAUUAGAUACCCGGGUAGUC